rnacentral:rRNA from 1 species
UACGGAGGGUGCAAGCGUUAAUCGGAAUUACUGGGCGUAAAGCGCACGCAGGUGGCUGAGUCAGUCGAUUGUGAAAGCCCUGGGCUUAACCUGGGAAUUGCAGUCGAUACUACUCAGCUAGAGUAUGGGAGAGGGCAGUGGAAUUCCCGGUGUAGCGGUGAAAUGCGUAGAUAUUAGGAAGAACACCAGUGGCGAAGGCGGCUCACUGGCCCGGUACUGACGCUGAGGCGCGAAAGCGUGGGGAGCAAACAGG